GAAUCUUUAGAGAAAUGACGCGAAACUCCUGCCUUAAAGCCCUAAAUGGCGGCUUCAAUAUCAGUCCCACUGAGCAUGAAAUUCAUUUACUUAAAUAAAAUCUGAAUCUCAGCCCAAACCUGGGAGAUUCAAAACCUGAGAGCGGUCUUACCAAAGACGCCCGUAUGUCUGGUGAAGUCAGUUGGAUGCAAGCAGUUUGUGCUGGUACCAGGGCCCCAGCUACUGAUGAAGUGGCAGGAGUCCACAGAAGCCUACUUCGAAGUUCCCGGGGCUUCCAGGGGAGUCUGAUCCCCCAGGAAAGCAGCUGGAAAACAAGAGCAUGUGAAGGAAGCGCAGCAGCUCCUCGCCAGCCAGACAGCCAGCCCCGCACCGCAGGAGUCGACAUGCACGGCAGCCUAGACGCCAUCAGUUAAACUUAUAUGUAGGCUUGUUGAGGAAAACGACUUUCAAACACAAGGCAAAAGAAAAACAUGAAACCAAGGGUUCCAACAUUCAUCAUCCAGUUUCAGAGACACCCUUGAAGGAAUGCUACAGCCUCUUUCUUACCCAUUCAAACCAGUCGCUCUGCUGCAUACCCACAUCACAGGAGGCCCUCAGCCCCGACACACAGGCUCACUCAGCCCGGGGACAUCAGCACCUGUGCCAGCUCCGCAAGGUAUCCACCAUGCGGCCAGAACUGAGGCCCAGCAAUAGCUGAAAUGUCCUUUAAAUUAACAUGUACAACACACAACCCCCAAGAGCUGACAUCCCCAAAGCCCCACCACAAAUAGCUGACUCCUACUUAUACCUGCAGGAGCAGGUAGUGACCUCUGCAAUUCUAAACCGUCCACUUUGGGCAAAAUUCAUCAAGCUAUGGAUAUGAAAAAAGGCCCCCAAGGAUAUGAUUCAUAGUCCAGCGUUUGAGUGAGCACUCCAGUCAGAACGAACUCUGCAUUGUGAACAUCUGAACAGGGUGGAAACAGACACUUUAGUUAGAGAUCCACUGCUGUGCGUGCACACAUACUCACACAGGUAAGCGGGGAAACGUACCUAUGCCUCUGGCAAAAUAUUCUCGGCAUAAAUGAAGGUCAUUUUCACAGGAUAUUAAAAUUAUUUCCGACAAACUCUAAGGAAAAGAAAAUGAGUUUCUCAGUGACCGAACGCUGAAUGUGAUACAGGGCAAUGACGGACUCGCUGGCGGACUCCACUCUACCCACCGAGUUCUGCUUGUGCUCCAUGAGCUUCCGGAAAGAUGGCUGCUUGGAUAACACCUUUCCUCCUGCACACUCUACGAUUGCCUUCAUAGUGGAAAGACUUGGGCAGAUUCCAGGUGUGAUGUAAAAAUAUUUUGCCUAAAAUUAAAUGAAAAUAUAUGUAUUAUGUUCUUAAAAUGCUUUAAUUUUUAGAGUACAUAAUUCUCAUAGAUUCUGCCCUGAGAUUUUUGACAAAAUUUCAAAUUUUAUGACAUUAUGAAGGUACUAUUCUCCUACUAGCACUCAAUCUGAAGUGGAAGAGGAAUCCAGCUAUGUAAAUUUGGAAUGUAAGCAUUUUCACAUGUUAAGUAUGCCUGAAGAUGAUUUAAAGUAACCAGAACUUAAGUCCCUAAAACAAAGUGUUUUGUGAAUAAGCAAGAAUAUUACAAAUAUUUUUCACAAUUUCUAUACAAUUUUAAAUCAGCAUUAUAUUUCACCACACUUAUCUGCCCAGCAACAGCCUCUGGCAUAGCAUGCUGCCUGGCUUAUAUCCCUUUUCUUUAUUUUCUCCAUAUUAUUUGAACUCAGAGCAGGAAAUGAUAUUGAUGCUUAAGAUUUAAUUAUCUAACAAGAUUGCUCCUGAGGAUACCACAAAAUACUAUUCUGUCUGAAACUGCAAAUAAUUUCUAAUUCCUGUUGACUCCUUAAGAAGGUUAAAGAACCGAUUAUCUUUAUUGAUUUACUUAGUUCUUUGGUACAAAAAAAAUUCCUAGCUGUUCUAACACUUAUCUAACAUUUAAAAAUCUUUUAGUACUGAAUUAUAUCUAUGCACACACUGAAUAUUUUCCCAAGUAUCUUCUCCAGCUGAAUAUACAUUUACUGACAAUAGUACGAAGUAAGCGAUGUCCUCUAAAGAUUUAUUAAAAGCAGAAAAAUGAACAUGCCUCUUAACCAAUUACUCAAAAACCUAUUCUUUGAAUAACUUAUUUCUCAUAGAUGUAUUUAUUAAAUUUGUGUACUUAUUUUUAAACAUUAUAGUAAAGAAAAGUUCUCUAGAGAUGUGCUGUGGUUCACAGGAGGAAGACCUCCAGUGGCAAUGUCCAAGAAGGAAGCCAAGAGGUAAAUGGGAUGCAGGGUGAGCCCAGCUCCCCUGGAGGCGCACUUCCCACCAAAUCACCUGGUAGUUCCCUUGAGCAGGUCCGUGUGUUAUGCUUACUUGGACUGAUUUACUUUUCCCUUAAAGUGUACCUUAAAGAGUGGAGAAACGUGUGCCCGUUUUAAGGAUUCUUCCAAGCUGAAAGAGAAAAGUACUUCUGCCUCAGCAUCUCGGAGAAUGUAGUUCUGCUCAUCUGGAAAACAGAACAGCACAUACUCUGAAAAGUGUGGACACGUGAAGUGUGGCAAGUGUGACCCACAAAAUUCUCGCCCAUAUUCAGGUACAUAAUAUUACAGCUACAUUUACCUGUACAGCCUUCGGAUAUUUAAAUGUCACCAUUAUAUUUCAUUUACUUCCCUCUAAAAACAGCCAGACCAAAAAGACAGACAGGUAUUUUUUCUCCUAGAUCAGUGGUAAUUAACCAUUUGGGGUCAUAAACUCUUGAAAAAAACGGGCUGGGUGUGGUGGUUCAUGCCUGUAAUUCCAGCACUUUGGGAAGCCGGGGAAGGAAAGCUGCUUGAUGCCAGGAGUUCGAGAACAGCCUGGGCAACACAGUGAGACUUCAUCUCUACAGAAAAAUUUUAAAAUCAGCUUGGCAUGGUGGCAUGUGCCUGUAGUCCCAGCUACUCGGGGGACUGAAGUGGGAGGAUCGCUUGAGUCUGGGAAGUUCGAGGCUGUGGUGAGCCAUCAUUGCACCACAGCACCCCAGCCUGGGCAACAAAGUGAGAUCUGGUCUCAAAAUAAUAGUAAUUUUUUUUUUUUUAACAACAAAAAUGUAAAAAAAGAAAAAAAAAAUUACUGAAAAAUAUGAACCCUCUUCCCAUAGCUGCUCCUCCCCUCUUUACCCCCCGACUAUUUUAGGAAGUUCACCAACUUUCCAAGCCCGCAGAUCUCAGGUUAAAAUCUCCAGUCCUAGAAAGACAAGCUUCAAAUAAUCCCAUCCAAGUGUAUAUUAUAUAUAUAUAUGUUAUAUAUAUACACUAACUCCUCAAGGACUUGUAGGACAUUGGAGUCAUUUGGCUCAUAAUCAAUUAUGUGAAUUACCAAACUUUAAAGAUUUACCAAACACACAUUCAAGUAUAUAAAAGUAUACAGCAAUUUAUAAAGGAUAGUUUUAUCAAUUUUUAAAGACUUCUGACAAUUAUUAAUAAUUGACAGAUUUUCAGUUUUCAUAGCAACAUUUUAAGAAAUGUGUCAAAAGGUAAAGAUCACAAAAUGUUUCAAUCUUCCUAUAAAUAUGCCUCAUAUUCAGAAAACCAUUUCUCCUCCGCCGCCAUUUCCUACCAACCAUACAGCAUAAUAAGGCAGCUCAAACCCAAUAAUAUAUACAUCAAAAGCAGAAAACAAGGAAAAGUGAUUUGGGAUUGGCAAACUGGGGUUGACAAGAUGAUACAUAUUUUAGGAUUUGUGGGCUAUGUAUUAUUUCUCCUGCAUAUUCCUCUUCUCUUUUUUAAGCAAUAUUUAAAAAAUGUAAAAACCAUUUUCAGCGUAUGGACCAGUUUGCUGACUGCUGGGCAGGAGCAACCACAUCAUGACAGAAAUGCAGGGAUCUGUUCACCAACGGCCAGAAAUACAAAAUCAAUCCCUGAGUCAACCAGCAGAUAGAAAGGCUGCUUUUUAGGUGAAAGGAGAAAAAGAAUGUCUAAAAUUUGGAAAAACAAAAAAUGAUGAAUUAAAAAAGGAACAAAAAAAGUACUGUUACACAUGAGAUGGUAUAUUUGAAGUGUUACUUUCAAAGCUGAUAUGCCUUCUGAAGAACUUGUGUGAGAUCACCAAGAAUAGUUAAUGUUUAUGAUAGAGAAAACACCACCGGGCGCGGUGGCUCACGCCUAUAAUCCCAGCACUUUGGGAGGCCGAGGUGGGCGGAUCUCUUGAGGUCAGGAGUUCAAGACCAGCCUGGCCAACAUGGUGAAACCCUGUCUCUACUAAAAAAUACAAAAAAAUUUAGCCAGGCGUCGUCGUGGUGGGCGCCUGCAGUCCCAGCUACUAGGGAGGCUGAGGCAGGAGAAUGGCUUGAACCCAGGAGGCAGAGGUUGUAGUAAGCCAAUGGCACCACUCUACUCCAGCCUGAGCAACAGACUGGGUGAGACUCUGUCUUAAAAAGAAAAGAAAGUAAUAUUGAAAAAUACAGUAAUACAGCUAAGACGAUCCUGUCACAGAUGAGACAUUGAGAUUUUGGUUUUUUCAAACAGGGUUAUGUUACCUUAGUAGUAGCAAUGUAAAGACUCAACCUGAACAUUAAACUUUUCAUGGAAGUACAAAAGAAAUGAGUAUCCUAGAAAUUGAUUAUAAUAUUGAUGUCUCAAAUUUUAUGUAAGUUACACAUAAAUAUAAAAUCCCAAAAACAUGCACCUACCAAAACAGGUGGAGAAAAGAGUGUUUUCAACAAAUGAUGCUGGAACAACUGCACAUCCAUAUGCAAUAAAAGGAAGCUGGACACAGACUUUACCCUCUUUUAAAAAAAACUGACCCAAAAAUGGAACACAGACCUAAAUGUAAAAUGCAAAACUAUGAAACUCCUAGAAGAUAACACAGGAGAGAAUCUAAGGGACCUUGAGUUUGGCAAUGACUUUUUAGAUACAACACCAAAGACACAAUCCAUGAAAGAAAUAAGAAGUAACCUGGACCUCACCUAUUAGAAUGGCCAAAACCCAGAGCACUAACACCAGCAUAUGCUGAGGAGGAUGUGGAGCAACAGGAGCUCCCAUUCACUGCAGGUGGGAAUGCAAAAUGGCACAGGCACUUCAGAAGACAGCCUGGCGGUUUCUUACAAAGCUAAACAUACUCUUACCAUAUGAUCAAGCAAUUGCAACCUUGUUGAUUUACCAAAAGGAGUUGAAAACUUACGUCCACACUAAAACCUGUACAUGGAUGUUUUAGCAGCUUUACUGCUAACUGCGAAAAUUUAGAAUCAGCUAAGAUGUCCUUGUGUAGGUGAGGGGCUGAACAGAUACAUUCUGACAAUGGAAUAUUAUUUAGUGCUAAAAAGAAAUGCUUUAUGAAGCCAUGAAAAGACAUGGAGGAAGCUGGGACGUAUAUUGCUAAGCAAAGGAAGCAAAUCUGAAAAUCCUAUAUACUGUAUGAUUCCCAAUAUGUAACAUUCUGGAAAGGGCAAGACUAUAGAAAGAAUAAAAGAUCAGUGGUUGCCAGGGGUCAGCAGGCAGGAAGGAAUGAGUGGGUGGAGCACAGAGGAUUUUCAGGGCAGUGGAACAACUCCAUAUGACGCUGUAAAGCAAAAUCAUGUCCUUACACAUUUGUUAAAACCCAAUGACUGUUCAAGGCCAAGAGUGAGCCCUAAUGUAACUAUGGACUUUGGGUGACUGGCCAAGAGUGAGCCCUAAUGUAACUAUGGACUCUGGGUGACUAGCCAAGAGUGAGCCCUAAUGUAACUAUGGACUUCAGGUGACUGGCCAACAGGGAGCCCUAAUGUAACUAUGGACUUCGGGUGACUGGCCAAGAGUAAGCCCUAAUGUAACUAUGGACUUUGGGUGACUAUGACCCAAAUGUCAAUGUAGCUUCAUUAACAGUUAAUAAACAUUUCACUGUGGUGUGGGAUGGUGACUGUAGUGGGGGUGGCGGUGUGUGUGCAUGGGUAUGGGCUGGGGUAUAUGGGAACUCACUGUACUUUCUGUAAUUUUGCUGUGAACUUAAAACUGCCCUAAAAAUUGUCUAUUUUUAAAAAACAAUAAUUAUAAACUGGAAAAAUUCUCUUAGGAAAUCCUAAAAUAUGGAAGAUAAAAUAUGAAAUGUUUUCUCAGUAUUAAAUGUUUAUAACAACCACUUUCUAACCCUCAGAGAGCAACACAGCAAAUACUUAUUAACAGUGCCAUAAAGAAAUAAAAGCUAGUCAACCAAAACUUCCCAUUAAAUAGGAACUGUAAACUUUAUAUACAGAUAAAACAACCACAUUUUCACAAACUGAAACUUGAAAAAUUAAGUAAAUUGGUCAUUCACUAAAUUGGCUGCUUGGCAAACUAAUUUUCAAAGAAUUAGCAUGUUCUUGGUUGGAAAAGAAAAAGAAUAAGCAAAGUCAGAAAGUAACAAAAAAGAUCUCUAAAGCUGGGUGUUGCCCAAAAGCAGCCGAUGGAGCCAACCAGAGGCUGGAACAUUACAGACCCGCUUUCCCCACCACCCAAGCUGGUGUAUGCCAUGCUCCCACAGCAGAAGCUAAAAAAGUACACUUACUAUUUCUAUUAACGAAUAGACUAUCUCCUUCUAAACUGUAUAACAUUAUAUGAAAUUGGAAGCUAAAAUGUUUGUAGUAAUUGUUUCUACUAUGUUCUUCUUCUGCCUUCAUUGUUAAGUUUUAUGUUUCAUUAAUACCUUUUUAGAGUCAAAAAAUUUUCAAAAUUUCAAUUAAAAAAAUUUCUAAAUACCA
ensembl:lncRNA PAXIP1-AS2 PAXIP1 antisense RNA 2